rnacentral:misc_RNA from 1 species
CAAGCUAUAGCUCCCACAUCUCUCGCUCUGCGGAUCAGAGCCUUCAUCGGAGGACACGCUCCCCAUACUAUAAUCAAGAUCCAACGCUCCAAAACUAAAACUCAAAAAAAAAAAAAAAAAUCUGGUUAAACCAGUUGUCUUAUACCAAUUCAAUGCCUGGCCUUCCAAACUCAAAAUUCUCAAUCUUCAUAUAUAGAAACCCAUAUUCUCAUUUGACAUGCUUAAUGAACCAAUUCAACAUGUCUAAAUGAGCUUCUUCAGCAAUCUUGACAGCUGAAUCAUCCUCAUCAUUAUACUUCAUUGUCCAUCCAUGAGCAACACCAGGGAAUAUCUUUACAUAACUCUGAAUCUCGUCUUUUGUUGCUAAAAUUUCUCCUAUUUGUUUCAGUUGUUCAGCUGAGAAAAUACUAUCAAAUUCAGCACCCAAUAUAGCAGUUGGAACGUUAACAGCUUUGAUUUCAUCAACUGUAAUCGGACCAGGAUGCAAUAUCACUGCAGCCUGAAUAUCAUCACAACUCGCUAGUUUCACUACCACCAUUCCGCCCCAGCAAAAACCUGCAGCCCCUAUUGCAGAAAUGCCUCUGCUUUUAAGUGCAGCAAUGACUUUUUUGGCAUCUUCACAUCCUUUAACUGUGUCAUGAUUUUUCAUCCAGGUGUCUCGAUCAAAUUGAGGAUUACUUGGUUCAGCCGGAUCUCCAUAGAGAAAAUCAGGAACCACUACAAGGAAUCCAGCUGCUGCAACUUUGUCUGCAAGCUUCCUUAAAUUUGGUGCUUCAAACCCUGCAAAAUGUUUUAGAAGACAAUAAAAUCAUUCCUCUGUAAUUAAAGAUACCAAAUUAACUUUCUUUCCCUACUAAGAGAUAACUGGACCUUAUAGUGACCUAUAAAGCUCUGAACCUGAGGAAAGUAAACCAUAUGGAAAUAGAUGCAAUAAGAAGAUUAUUGAAGAAAGUAGAGAUGGGCCAUUACCAAAGGCGUCGUUAGCUAGAAGGAUGGCAAGCUUAGAAUCAGGAGGACCAGUGACAUAAGUCUUGAGGCCACCCAGUUCCUUAACUGUACCGACCCCAUAGUUUGGGUUCAGGGUUGGUGGAUUCUCCAAGCAUUGAGAGCUCGACAUGUCUCACACAAUAGAUGAUUCUGUGGGAAAAUGGUUGGCCAGUCCACCCCCACUUAUCAAAGAAUUUGUACGACUCAUUGAAGUUCCGUGAGUAGCAAACCAAUUGAAGCUACCAACUGGACCCCACUCAU